rnacentral:lncRNA from 1 species
CCCAAAGUAAUUUUGUAUCUUCCAUUUUCUCAUUUGUUCUUUUUACUUAACAUGGAAAACAUCAGUACCUGAUUUUCACUCUCCCUGAGGAGCAGGGGAAAGACAGCCUAGGGUUCUCAAAGAAUUAUUAGCAACAUAACCCAAAUUAGAGACUGAAAUAUUAUAUGCCAUCUUCUAUCUGUAUCAACUAUUUUUCUCUGCUUCUUAUAUAAACAUCAUUUAAAGAAAAACACACAGACACACACAAAGUCUUAACAGUAAUUCAACUGAAUGGGAAAUGGAAACUUAAGAGAGACUUAUUAA